GAAAUACUCCAUCUGUCCCAAAAUUCUUGUCUUAGAUUUGUCUAAAUACGGAUGUAUCAAGUCACCUUUUAAUAUUGGAUACAUCUAUAUCUAGACAAAUUUAAGACAAGAAUUUUGGGACGGAGGAAGUAUAUU
rfam:Triticum aestivum genome assembly, contig: Triticum_aestivum_CS42_TGACv1_scaffold_500339_6BL